rnacentral:rRNA from 1 species
UACGUAGGGUGCGAGCGUUGUCCGGAAUUAUUGGGCGUAAAGAGCUCGUAGGCGGUUUGUCACGUCUGCUGUGAAAUCCCGAGGCUCAACCUCGGGCCUGCAGUGGGUACGGGCAGACUGGAGUGCGGUAGGGGAGAAUGGAAUUCCUGGUGUAGCGGUGAAAUGCGCAGAUAUCAGCAGGAACACCGGUGGCGAAGGCGGGUCUCUGGGCCGUAACUGACGCUGAGGAGCGAAAGCAUGGGGAGCGAACAGG